GACAACGCUGGCGGCGUGCCUAACACAUGCAAGUCGAACGGGGAUAUGAUUUCGGUUGUAUCCCAGUGGCGAACGGGUGAGUAACGCGUGAGCAACCUGUCCUUUUGAGGGGGAUAACACUUGGAAACAGGUGCUAAUACCGCAUAAGACCACGGGUCCGCAUGGACCAGAGGUCAAAGGAGCAAUCCGCAGAAGGAGGGGCUCGCGUCCCAUUAGGUAGAUGGCGGGGUAACGGCCCACCAUGCCAACGAUGGGUAGCCGAGCUGAGAGGCUGAUCGGCCACACUGGAACUGAGACACGGUCCAGACUCCUACGGGAGGCAGCAGUGGGGAAUAUUGGGCAAUGGGCGAAAGCCUGACCCAGCAACGCCGCGUGAGGGAAGAAGGCCUUCGGGUUGUAAACCUCUGUCCUUGGUGACGAAAAAAAUGACGGUAGCCAAGGAGGAAGCCCCGGCUAACUACGUG
rnacentral:rRNA from 1 species